CCAAUAGCGUAUAUUAAAGUUGUUGCAUUUAAAAAGCUCGUAGUUGAAUUUCGGGAUCAAUAUAACGGUCAUGCCGUUGGUGUGCACUGUUAUAAUCGGUUUCUCACCUUCUAAAGAACCGUGAUGCCAUUAAUUUGGUGUCACGGGGAAUUAGGACUGUUACCUUGAAAAAAUUAGAGUGUUUAAAGCAGGCUCACGCUUGAAUACAUUAGCAUGGAAUAAUGAAAUAGGACAUCCGAUUCUAUUUUGUUGGUUUCUAGGAUCGAUGUAAUGAUUAAUAGGGAUAGUUGGGGGCAUUAGUAUUCAAUUGUCAGAGGUGAAAUUCUUGGAUUUAUUGAAGACUAACUACUGCGAAAGCAUUUGCCAAGGAUGUUUUCAUUAAUCAAGAACGAAAGUUAGGGGAUCGAAGACGAUCAGAUACCGUCGUAGUCUUAACCAUAAACUAUGCCGACUAGGGAUCGGAUGAUGUUAAUUUUUUAAUGACUCAUUCGGCGCCUUACG
rnacentral:rRNA from 1 species